GUGCUUGCUUAGGCAGCAGCACACAUACUAAAAUUGGAACGAUACAGAGAAGAUUAGCAUGGCCCCCGCACAAGGAUGACAUGCAAAUUUGUAAAACGUUCCAUAUUUUU
ensembl:snRNA U6 U6 spliceosomal RNA